CCGCGUGGGGCAGCCUCGCGUCGCCGCUUCCCGGCGAAGGCAUUCCGACGCCUGACGUCAAGCCGAUCGGCUUCGUUCCCGAGACAUCGAUACCGGCAGCGCU
rnacentral:sRNA from 1 species